CUUUUCCUUCUUCUUCUUCUUCUUCCUUUCGCGGGACAGCACCCCCUCCCUUGCUUCACUGUGUUUUUCGUUGACGGGCCACGGACUCCGGCAACCAAGCCCUCUAUCUUCAUCUUCUCGACGAGAGGAGCUCGCUGGUGGUGUCGUUUCGCAGAACAGAGGCCAGAAUCGAAGGAGGUCGCGACUGGAACUUAGCGUCGCGCGAUGAAGAUCUGGCAAUCCACGUCGUUUGCGACGGUUGCAGCUUGAAGGAACAGCGCCGAUUGCUUCAUCUCCUCCGUGCGAACUCUUCCUCUCUACUAGAUUGAAUUUCUGGUGAAGAUUGGUGAAACCACCAUGAUCGGUGGCUUCCUUGCUGGCUGUCGGGCUUGUUCCGUCCAAACGAGCCACUGGCUCAUCAAACUGAUGGUAGAUUUGGACUCCUCACAAAAAUUCGAGUCGGGUGGUGGUAACCUUGCAAUUUUAUAUGCAAGACCGACUUUCCGGCCACCGUGCACGGCGGUGACGGUGGCGGUCCGGCGAGGCACCAAGAGACAGAUUUUUCCUCUGCUCUCGUGGAUUGUGGAUUUGUCCUCCGAUUUUCAAUCGGUAAUAGGAAGAAACGAGAGUCCUAUGGACCCGACUGAGUUGAAAUAUCGGAACUAGAAACUUGUUAAUAGUUGUGUUAGCCAUGUAAAUGUUAAGGACUGUAGAUUAUGAAGUUCUGCAAUUGUAUUCCAAAUGGAUUGUAACUGGAUAACAAUAGCACAUAUAUUAAUAAUAUGGAUUGUAUUUUUGAUAUA